GGACGGGGGGGACGGGGCCCUUUCCCACGAGCAGGCUGCCUAAAAAAUCCCCCCCCAAAAUUCUGCUGCAUCCCCCCCUCCCCCGGCGUCGAGAGCGGACUAUACAAAAUGCAUAAAAGAGCAGCUCCCGGGAAAGGGCCCGGAGCUUUAGGAAGGGGAAAAGGACGGAGGGGUGAAGGCUGAGGGGGGUGGGCUGAGCCCUGGAUGCCACCCCCUCCCCCCCCCCAUCACCACCACCACCACCACCAGGGACGAAUGGGGACAACAGGGCACAGCUGGAAGGGUCUAAUUGCUGCUGUCACGAUCGGGGGGGGUGAUCCGGUACAGGUAGAAAACGAAACGAAUCAUCGUCAUACAAAAAAAAAAUAAUAAUAAAAUAAAAUAGAGAAGAAGCCUCUAACGCACGGGUGAGAGCGGGGCGGGCGGCUCCGGGGUCGGCUUAUCUGUCGUUGAGCUGCGGGGAGUUGGUCCGCUCCUCCUCAUCCUCCUUGUCGUCCUUCAUCCCCUUCAGCCGCUGCCGGGCGAAGUCCUCGAACACGAUGUCGUCGUCACUGGGGGAGAGGGGACGCACACACAGACACACACAGAUACACACAGACACAGGGAGAGGGGUUUUGUGGGGGGUUUGGGGCGCUCAGGGCGCGGGUUUGGGGGGGAGAGGGGGGUCCCAAAGCUCCGUCGUCAGCCUUGGGUUGCAAAGCGUUACCCCGAGAAGGCCCCGCUGGGCUGGGGUGGGGUGGGAAAGGCCCCGAAGCAGCAGGGGCAGCACCAAAGCCACCCCAAAGGAACAUCAAAACCCUCUGCCCUUCCUCUUGCAGCCACCCCAUAGCUUCCCACGGCAACCCCAAAAUCAACCCCAGCCCCAGAACGUCCCCCCAGCUUCCCACUUGCAGCCCCAAAGCCAUCUCAAAGCUCCCACUGCAGCCCCAAACCCCCCCAUAACCUCCUACUGCCGCACUACGAUCUCCUAUUGCAGCCCCAAAGCCUCCCUAAGGCCACACUGCAGCACCAAAGCCACCCCAAAAUCUACUCCAGCCCCAAGACAUCCCUGAAAACCUCCCAUUGCAGCACCAAAGCUCCCCACACAUCUCUGAUCUUCCCCUUGCAGCCCCAAAGCCACCCCGAAACCUCCCACUGCAAACCCUAAAGCGAUCCCAAACUUCCCACUGCAGCCCCAAACCACCCCAUAACCUCCUACUGCCGCACCACGAUCUCCUA
rnacentral:lncRNA from 1 species